UACAUGGGGUGCAAACGUUGCUCGGAAUUAUUGGGCGUAAAGCGCGCGUAGGCGGUUACUUAAGUCGGAUGUGAAAGCCCUCGGCUUAACUGAGGAAGUGCACCCGAAACUGAGUAGCUAGAGUACGAAAGAGGGUCGCGGAAUUCCCGGUGUAGAGGUGAAAUUCGUAGAUAUCGAGAGGAACACCUGCGGCGAAGGCGGGUUGCUGGCUGGACACUGACGCUGAUGCGCGAAAGCCAGGGGAGCGAACGGG
rnacentral:rRNA from 1 species